UAAGAUUUAAAGAAAUGUAUCCUCUUUCCCAAGAUCAUGCCAUUUGGAGACAGGAGAGCUGAGGUGGAAAUCGCCAUCUGCCUGACUGUAGAUUCAGUCCUCCCCUGCCUGACUUUCUCCAAAGACAAAUGGGCAACAGAAAUGUCACUUGAUCCAUGCUUAAGUUCUUGAGAGAACCAGAAACAUAAUGGGUUUCAAAACACCUU
rnacentral:lncRNA from 1 species